UACGUAGGGGGCAAGCGUUGUCCGGAUUUAUUGGGCGUAAAGCGCGUGUAGGCGGCCACGCAGGUCCGCUGUGAAAACUCGAGGCUCAACCUCGAGCUGUCGGUGGAAACCGCGUGGCUAGAGUCCGGAAGAGGGGACUGGAAUUGCCGGUGUAGUGGUGAAAUGCGUAGAGAUCGGCAGGAACACCCAGGGGGAAACCAGUCGACUGGGCAGCACCUGACGCUGAGGUGCGAGAGCGUGGGGAGCGAACCGG
rnacentral:rRNA from 1 species